UCCAACAGCUCCACGUCCUUUUUGUGUUGCAGGCACCAGAACUGGACACAGUGCUCCAGGUGGGGUCUCACAAGGACAGAAUAGAAGGGCAGAAUCACCUCUCUCAGCGUGCUGGUCAUGCUUCUCUUGAUGAAACCCAGGAUAACUUUGACCUUCUGGCACACUGCUGCCCAUGUAGAGUCUUUCACCAACUGACACCCCCAAAUCUUUCUCCACAGGGUUGCUUUCAAGCCACUCUCUCCCAACCUGGACGUGUUCUAGGGAUUGCCUGGAACCCAACGCAGGACCUCACACUUGCCUUGGUUGAACUUCAUGAGGUUGGCGUGGGACCACUUCUUAAGCCUGACCAGGUUCCUCUGGAUGGCAUCCCUUCCCUCUAGCAUGUCAAUUGCUCCACUCAGCUCGGUGUCAUCUGCAAACUUGCUGAGGGUGCACUCAAUUCCAUGCUCCAUGACACCUACAAAGAUGUUAAAUAAUACCAAUCUCAGCACUGAUCCCUGAGGAAAGACACACAUCCACGGUCUUCACCCAGACACCAGGGUAUUGACUACAACACUCUGAGCGUGACCAUCCAGCCAAUUCCAUAAGCACAGGGUGGUCUGUCCAUCACAGCAAUUUUUCUCCAAUUUGGUGACCAGAUGUCAUGGGAAACCAUAUCAAACCUUUCACAAGUCCAGGUAGAUGACUUCAGUUGCUCUUCAUUCAUCCACUGAUGCUGUAACUUCAUCAAAAAAACCCACCAAGUUUGUCACGCAGGACUUGCCCUUGGUGAAGCCAUGUCGGUUACCACCAAUCACCUCCUCCUUAUUUUCCAGGAGCCUCAGUACGGCCUUCAUGAUGUUCCGCCCCAUGAUCUUGCCAGGCACAAAGGUCUUCCCAACCUUCCCUUAUCCUCUGUGGGGUGGCAGUACAUGUAAAUGAAUAGAUGUGUCAGUAGGAAAACGGAGCAAACAGGAAUAUGGAAAAAGAGAGGAAGAAACUGCAUGCAUUUUACUGCUCUUGCGUAACACACAGCUCUGAGCAACAAAGAGUACGCAAUUAUGCUUUCACUUCUGAAAAUGGAAUUUGGAAAUAGGAUUCAAGAUUGAAAUAAAAAUCAUGAAUUUAUGCCUACAUCUUCAUUUUCUGUUCAUAUACAUACAUUAGCAAUAACUUUCAAAGGGAACAUCUGGAGUUGCAACCAUAUAUCCAACUCAAAGAUCUUACCACAUGCCUUUACCCAAUUUUCCGAGAAUCCUAGAAUGGUUUGGGUUGGAAGGGACCUUCAAGAUCCUCUGAAUCCAACUCCUCUGCUGAAGUAGGGCCACAACCCACCAGACCAGAUUGCUCACAGCCCCAUCCAGUCUGGCCUAGGACGCUUUCAGGGUGGGGUCAUCCACACCUCCUGGUAACUUCUUCCAGUUUCUCACCACCCCUACAGUAAAGAUUUUCUUCUUCAUACCUAGUCUAAACCUACUCUCUAUGACUUCAAAGCCAUUUUCCCUCAUCCUGUCAGUACAUGUCCUUUUAAAAAUCCCUCCCCAACUUUCCCGUGUGCCUCUUCAUGUACUGGAAGUCCACUAUAAGGUACCCCCAGAGUCCUUUCUUCUCCAGGCUGUAGAGCCCCAGCACUCUCAGCCUGUCCACACAGGGGAGAUGCUCCAGCCCUUCAUCAUCCUUGUGGUGCUCCUCUGAACCUACUCCAACAGAUCCAUGUCCUUCUUACAUGGUAGGCCUCAAAACUGCAUGCAGUACUCAGGUGGGGUCUCAAGAGGACAGAGUAGAGGGGAAGAAUCACUUCCAUUGAACGGUUUGUCGUGCUUCUCUUGAGGCAACCCUAGAUAACUUCUGCCUUCUGGACCACAAAAGCACACUGCUGCCCAUGUAGAGUCUUUCAUCAACCAACACCUUGAAGUCCUUCUCCUCAGGGCUGCUCUCAAGCCAUUCUCUGACCAGCCUGCAUUUGAGCUAGGGAUUGCCCUGACCCAGGUGCACAAUGCUGCACGUGUCUUGGUUGAACUUCAUGAGGUUGGCACAGGACUGCCUCUCAAGACUGAGCGUGUCCCUCUGGAUGGCAUCUCUUACCUCUAGCAUGUCAACGGCACCACUCAGCUUGCAUCAACUGCAAACCUGCUGAGGGUGCACUCAGUCCAACCAUCCAUGUCACCCACAAACACUUAAAUAGCACCGGUCCCAGAACCAGUCCCUGAGGAAUGCCACACAUCACUGGUCUCCACUGGACAUGGAGUCGUUGACCACAGAUCAUUCACUGUUACCAUCCAUCUAAUUUGUU
ensembl:lncRNA